rnacentral:snoRNA from 1 species
GCAUUGCGGUGAUGAAUUUUGUAUUUUCGCAUGUCAGACUUCAGAGAAGCAUCUGGUGGCAAGUCAUAUGCUAUGACUGAGCAAUGA